AUUGAACGCUAGCGGGAUGCUUUACACAUGCAAGUCGAACGGCAGCGCGGACUUCGGUCUGGCGGCGAGUGGCGAACGGGUGAGUAAUGUAUCGGAACGUGCCCAGUAGCGGGGGAUAACUACGCGAAAGCGUAGCUAAUACCGCAUACGCCCUACGGGGGAAAGCAGGGGAUCGUAAGACCUUGCACUAUUGGAUCGGCCGAUAUCGGAUUAGCUAGUUGGUGAGGUAACGGCUCACCAAGGCGACGAUCCGUAGCUGGUUUGAGAGGACGACCAGCCACACGGGGACUGAGACACGGCCCAGACUCCUACGGGAGGCAGCAGUGGGGAAUUUUGGACAAUGGGGGCAACCCUGAUCCAGCCAGCCCGAGUGUGCGAUGAAGGCCUUCGGGUUGUAAAGCACUUUUGGCAGGAAAGAAACGUCGCGGGCUAAUACCCCGUGGAACUGACGGUACCUGCAGAAUAAGCACCGGCUAACUACGUG
rnacentral:rRNA from 1 species